GAUGAACGCUGGCGGCGUGCUUAACACAUGCAAGUCGAACGGAAAGGCUCCUGCUUGCAGGGGUACUCGAGUGGCGAACGGGUGAGUAACACGUGGGUGAUCUGCCCUGCACUUCGGGAUAAGCCUGGGAAACUGGGUCUAAUACCGGAUAGGACGAUGGUUUGGAUGCCAUUGUGGAAAGUUUUUUCGGUGUGGGAUGAGCUCGCGGCCUAUCAGCUUGUUGGUGGGGUAAUGGCCUACCAAGGCGUCGACGGGUAGCCGGCCUGAGAGGGUGUACAGCCACAUUGGGACUGAGAUACGGCCCAGACUCCUACGGGAGGCAGCAGUGGGGAAUAUUGCACAAUGGGCGCAAGCCUGAUGCAGCGACGCCGCGUGGGGGAUGACGGCCUUCGGGUUGUAAACUCCUUUCGCUAGGGACGAAGCGCAAGUGACGGUACCUGGAGAAGAAGCACCGGCUAACUACGUG
rnacentral:rRNA from 1 species